UUAGCAGUAGGAAUUCUAUUGACACCGAUCAGACAUUGUGACCACUGACAGGUGAAGUGAAUCACGCUGAUGAGCUCGUUACAUCCACCUGUCAGUGGGCGGAGCUUAUCAGUAUAUAUGGCAGCAAGACAACAGACUGUACAGAACGACGGAGGACGAAGUGGGGACGGACGUCCGCGGCUCACUGGCCAUGAGGUUAAUCUGUUGUAGAGCUUUUAGAUUUUAAUGUGCAGCCUUCUGUGUGUAUGUAGAUGCUUCGCUGUUACUCUGAGUGGCCGGAGGAUCCUGUCUGUUGGCUACACAAACAAGAUGCCCCACAUCGACAAUGGGGAAACGCAUGCUUCACAUUUUCCCUCUUCAAGAACAAAAUGACACUACACCUCAUGUCUGAGCUGUGGAUGGUGCACCUGAGUAAGUCAACUCAGAAGUUGGGAGGCACACAGCCCAGUGAACAGGACCUGAAGCUUUGUGGGCUCACACUAUAAGCCUCCAGACA